CAUUAUAAAAGCAAAAUAUAGACAAGAAAGGAAGAGGAAAGUAAACAAUUUCAGACAUCAACUCACACUGGUAGAUAACAGUUGUGUAAGGACCAGUUGGAUUGGCCACAGAAAGAGAUAUUGUUUUGCAGAUCAGUGAAAUAUAUUUGUUUGUUAUUUAGUGUACUGUAAUGGCCAGUGAACUAUUUUAACUACACUGGCUAUUACUAAAUGCUCUUGAUUUAAGAAAUCCUAGGUCUUCUAUGCAUUUGUGUACAUUACCACUGAGAACAAACUGCAAACAAGGCUGGAGGCAGUCAUAUUGUUCUUUUCUUCAGAGAAGUAAAAGUGGUGGGAUAAAGACACCAUUGGUCAUGGUGGGACUUUUGGUCAGUAGCUUACAUUUUCUGUAGCUGAAGAACUGAAGGUCCUUUGGGGAGUCUCAUCUUAUUCACCCCUCUCCCUCCCCACCACCACUUAUGACCAGGCUACUUGAAGGAACACCUUCUUCCAUAUAUUCCUGCCCAGGACCUUAAGAUCUUCAUCAGAGGUCCUUCUACAGGUUGCCCCAACCUAAUGAGUGGCAACAAGAAAGUUGAUCAAGAAAGGAUCAGGGAACAGAUGAUGGAACCUCUGCUUGAGACCCACUGCUAGUAAGACCCAAGCCAGCAAAGAAGGCUGCUUUGGAGUAUACUUCAUAAGAAGAUGGAAUUUGUCCAAUGGUGGAAGCCAGGAACACCUCUGAAACUCUAAUUACAACAGAUAUUUCACUAUACCUUGAAGAUGUUUCCCUGUAUUCUAGUAUAGCACUUCAACUGUACCAUUAUGCAACUAUACCACUUUGGAAAUUUCACUGUAC